GAUGAACGCUGGCGGCGUGCCUAAUACAUGCAAGUCGAGCGAACGGACGAGAAGCUUGCUUCUCUGAUGUUAUCGGCGGACGGGUGAGUAACACGUGGAUAACCUACCUAUAAGACUGGGAUAACUUCGGGAAACCGGAGCUAAUACCGGAUGAUAUUUUGAACCGCAUGGUUCAAAAGUGAAAGACGGUCUUGCUGUCACUUAUAGAUGGAUCCGCGCUGCAUUAGCUAGUUGGUAAGGUAACGGCUUACCAAGGCAACGAUGCAUAGCCGACCUGAGAGGGUGAUCAGCCACACUGGAACUGAGACACGGUCCAGACUCCUACGGGAGGCAGCAGUAGGGAAUCUUCCGCAAUGGGCGAAAGCCUGACGGAGCAACGCCGCGUGAGUGAUGAAGGUCUUCGGAUCGUAAAACUCUGUUAUUAGGGAAGAACAUAUGUGUAAGUAACUGUGCACAUCUUGACGGUACCUAAUCAGAAAGCCACGGCUAACUACGUG
rnacentral:rRNA from 1 species